rnacentral:rRNA from 1 species
UUAUAGUGUGGAUCAUUGCUCAGAUUGAACGCUGGCGGCAGGCCUAACACAUGCAAGUCGGACGGUAGCACAGAGGAGCUUGCUCCUCGGGUGACGAGUGGCGGACGGGUGAGUAAUGUCUGGGGAUCUGCCCGAUAGAGGGGGAUAACCACUGGAAACGGUGGCUAAUACCGCAUAACGUCGCAAGACCAAAGAGGGGGACCUUCGGGCCUCUCACUAUCGGAUGAACCCAGAUGGGAUUAGCUAGUAGGCGGGGUAACGGCCCACCUAGGCGACGAUCCCUAGCUGGUCUGAGAGGAUGACCAGCCACACUGGAACUGAGACACGGUCCAGACUCCUACGGGAGGCAGCAGUGGGGAAUAUUGCACAAUGGGCGCAAGCCUGAUGCAGCCAUGCCGCGUGUAUGAAGAAGGCCUUCGGGUUGUAAAGUACUUUCAGCGGGGAGGAAGGCGAUGUGGUUAAUAACCGCGUCGAUUGACGUACCCGCAGAGAGACCCAUUCCC